rnacentral:lncRNA from 1 species
AGAUUUUAACGCAAGCUCGCGGUUUUUCACGAGAGAAGAACUACAGUAUCCAGCGUUGCGAUGUCCGCAGCCAAUUCUGUAUUCAUCUUAAUCUUUGCAAUAACAAUCAUGACUAUAAAUAUCUCCUCAAGUACGGACAGCCGGAUCAGCAGUACUUUUACGUGUCUAAAUCCCGGAACACUUUGCAAUCCAGGUGACACCAGUGCCUGCAACGGGACCUGCACUUGCGAAGAACUCGGCAAUAGCAAUGGCCCACCUUCGUACCAGUGCACGGAACCACCUACGGCGGUAUCACGUCCCGCCGUUUAAUGGAAAUAAUGAGGCAAUAAAAAUUGUUGUCGCUCUUCAU